rnacentral:rRNA from 1 species
AGUGAACGCUGGCGGUAGGCCUAACACAUGCAAGUCGAACGGCAGCACAGUAAGAGCUUGCUCUUACGGGUGGCGAGUGGCGGACGAGUGAGGAAUACAUCGGAAUCUACUUUUUCGUGGGGGAUAACGUAGGGAAACUUACGCUAAUACCGCAUACGAUCUACGGGUGAAAGCAGGGGAUCUUCGGACCUUGCGCGAUUGAUUGAGCCGAUGUCGGAUUAGCUAGUUGGCGGGGUAAAGGCCCACCAAGGCGACGAUCCGUAGCUGGUCUGAGAGGAUGAUCAGCCACACUGGAACUGAGACACGGUCCAGACUCCUACGGGAGGCAGCAGUGGGGAAUAUUGGACAAUGGGCGCAAGCCUGAUCCAGCCAUACCGCGUGGGUGAAGAAGGCCUUCGGGUUGUAAAGCCCUUUUGUUGGGAAAGAAAAGCAGCAGGUUAAUACCCCGCUGUUCUGACGGUACCCAAAGAAUAAGCACCGGCUAACUUCGUG